rnacentral:rRNA from 1 species
UAACGCGUGGGAAUCUGCCCAUUGGUCGGGGAUAACUGCGGGAAACUGCAGCUAAUACCCGGUAAGCCCUUGAGCUUAGGCUUUUGGGGAAAGAUUUAUCGCCAUUGGAGGGGCCCGCGUCGGAUUAGCUAGCUGGUGGGGUAACGGCCUACCAAGGCGAUGAUCCGUAGCUGGUCUGAGAGGAUGAUCAGCCACACUGGGACUGAGACACGGCCCAGACUCCUACGGGAGGCAGCAGUGGGGAAUAUUGGACAAUGGGCGAAAGCCUGAUCCAGCAAUGCCGCGUGAGUGAUGAAGGCCUUAGGGUUGU